rnacentral:rRNA from 1 species
UACGGGGGGGGCAAGCGUUGUUCGGAAUUACUGGGCGUAAAGGGCGCGUAGGCGGCUUUUCAAGUCGGGCGUGAAAUCUCCGGGCUUAGCCCGGAAGGGUCGUUCGAUACUGUUGAGCUAGAGUGUGGAAGAGGCAACUAGAAUUCCGUGUGUAGCGGUGAAAUGCGUAGAUAUACGGAGGAAUACCUGAGGCGAAGGCGGGUUGCUGGGCCAACACUGACGCUGAGGCGCGAAAGCCAGGGGAGCAAACGGG